rnacentral:rRNA from 1 species
UACGAAGGGGGCUAGCGUUGCUCGGAAUUACUGGGCGUAAAGCGCACGUAGGCGGGUCGCUAAGUCGGGGGUGAAAUCCUGGAGCUCAACUCCAGAACUGCCUUCGAAACUGACGAUCUUGAGUUCGGGAGAGGUGAGUGGAACUGCGAGUGUAGAGGUGAAAUUCGUAGAUAUUCGCAAGAACACCAGUGGCGAAGGCGGCUCACUGGCCCGAUACUGACGCUGAGGUGCGAAAGCGUGGGGAGCAAACAGG